AUGGGGCCGCGCGCGGCCCGAGAACGGCCAGGGGAGGAGGGAACGGGCGCGCGCGGCCCGGCCGCUCCCGCCUCCUGCCGGCGCCGCAGCGCGCGCCUCGGGGCGCCGCUCCGUGCGGGGGGCGGGUCCGCCCGGCCGCGCUCCGCUCGCUCUGCUCGCUCUCCUCCCCCUCCUCCCCCGGAGCCGCGCUCGGCCCCAGCGGCCCGGGGUGUCGGCGCCCUCCCAUUGGCCGUUGGGGCGGAAGGCAGGACGGCCGCGCGCCGCUCUCACUGGCUGAGCCCCGCCCCUCCUCCCCGCUCCCUGCCGCCCCCCCCCGCUCACGCCACGCGCGCACGGACGGACGGAGACGGCGCGAGACGCAGCGCGAGCGGAGCCGCCAGGGCGCGCGAGACGGGAACCGCCGCCGCCGGGGCCGCCCAGCCCUGCCGAGGAGAGACAGGCGGGGCCGCCCCUCCCGCCGCGCGCGCGGCUCCCUUCCCCCCUCCCCCGCCCUUCCCUUCCCCGCGCCGGAUGCCGCCGCAGGGGGGGCCGCCCCGCGCCGCGAUCCGACCGGCCGAGCCCGGCCCGGCCCGGCGAGGCGGCGGGACGCUCCGAGCCCCCUCCCGGCCCUCACCCCCUCGCCCCCUGCUCCGCGCGGCCCCCCCCCGACCCCCCCUUUCCCGGCGCGGCCCAUCACCCCCCGUGCCGUGCCGUGCCCCGGAUGGAGGCGGCCGUUCGGCCCGGCUCGGCCCCGGGGUUUCUCCAGGCGGUCGAGCGGCGGCCCCUCGCCCCGUUUCACCGCCGCCGCGCGGCCGGGCCGUGGCACACAAUGCGGGCCGGGCCCGACGGGCCGCGCCGCGCCCCCGCCCGCCCCUCCGGCUCGCCUCGCUCCGGCGCGGGCCCGGCCGUCCCGGUGCGCGGGGCCGGGCACACACGUGCGGGCGGUCGGUCCACGCGCGGCGCGGCGGGCGCUGCUCACCUGGGGGCGCGGGGCCGCAGAGGCGCCUGGUGCCGCGCGCGCCGCCGCCGUCUCCGCGCCCAGCAGCAGCAGCAACAACGGAGUCAGCGCGGCGGCGGCGGCGGCGGCUUUUCCUGUCCGGUUACGUUAGGGUCACAUGA
rnacentral:lncRNA from 1 species